rnacentral:tRNA from 1 species
GCGCCCGUAGCUCAAUGGUUAGAGCGUGCGAUUGCAGAUCGCAAGGUUGCCUGUUCGAUUCAGGCCGGGCGCU